rnacentral:sRNA from 1 species
GCUUUGAAAUCCACCAAAUGUGACAAGCUCAUAAUAACUAUGAGAGAAGCACUUAAAGAAAAUCAUGCCUGGUAGAUAGGGUGCCAAAUCUCGAGUGAAUCUAGAACCUGCAGGACUGAAUGCCAACGGCGGGUCAUGAACUGCAUUAUAUAAGAUAAACUUAAAAAGAGGGGCUGACCCCUUGACCUUACCUGAAUGACCCCAGACGUCGACCCCUCGGCACCAGACAGAAGGUGGCAUUGUACAACAGCUUUUUGUAGUCGUACCUACAGAUGACAGUGUGAAAAUGGGCAUCAUUAAUAUAUACACAUUAAACAGUUUGGUUUGUUUUGGCAUUUGGACAAUCACAUACAGUUACUGAACAUGUAUAUUUUAAAUUUGUAAUGUAAGUUACAUGUGACCAGUGUUUGUUUUAACCUGUAACAGUUCUCUCACAAUUUCAUGCCCCCCCCUUUACCAAAUUGUUAUAACUUUACCUCAUUGAAAUAAACUAACAACUAAGUAUAAU